rnacentral:rRNA from 1 species
GUAGGUGGCAAGCGUUGUCCGGAAUUAUUGGGCGUAAAGCGCGCGCAGGCGGUUCUGUAAGUCUGAUGUGAAAGCCCACGGCUCAACCGUGGAGGGUCAUUGGAAACUGGAGAACUUGAGUACAGAAGAGGAAAGCGGAAUUCCACGUGUAGCGGUGAAAUGCGUAGAGAUGUGGAGGAACACCAGUGGCGAAGGCGGCUUUCUGGUCUGUAACUGACGCUGAGGCGCGAAAGCGUGGGGAGCAAACAGGAUUAGAUACCCUGGUAGUCCACGCCGUAAACGAUGAGUGCUAAGUGUUAGGGGGUUUCCGCCCCCCUUAGUGCUGCAGCUAACGCAUUAAGCACUCCGCCUGGGAUACGGCCGCAGGCUG